rnacentral:lncRNA from 1 species
UGUGUCCAUAGUACACGGAUUCCCCACUCGCACUAUCAUUUUCUGUGUUCAGUAGACCGUGAAAUUGGGGUCAUGACUCUAAUUCGGCAUUAUAAUUACAAUGAUCAUAUCGUAGAGAUCAUAUGUACUAAGUUUCAAGACGAUUGGACUUCAACUUAAUCAAAAACAACUUUUUUUUAAACCUGAAGCGGGACAAUUAGACGAAUAGACAGACACACCGAAAAACAUAAUGCCUUUAGUUGGAGCAUAAAAAGUAACAUACAUUAUUUAAUUUUUCUGUCGAAGUUUUGAAUUGUGUAUUGUAUUUGGUUAAAGAAGGCGU